ACCCUGCGCCGCUCUUCUCAGUACCCAUCCCGCAGACAGGAAAUGACGCAACACCGCAGCUCUCAGUCCCCUCAGACCGGAAAUGUCGUCAACCCUUGCGACGAAAACAAGUUACGUUAUUUCACCUCUCGCGAAAAAAACACGCUGCAAGAUCACCACCCCAUUGGGAAGAAACUAAAUCACGACCCCCAAAUGGUAGUCUUCCCAUGCAGAUACAGGGAUGUCACACAGAUCCAAAUGGAAAAAACGUUGACAGUCAAUCAACAGGGGGACAUGGAAAGAGAGGAUUGGAAGUGAAAUAGAGGGUUUUUCGGGACAGCCAUAGGGGAAGGACUGUGGCAUCUUCAUGUUGAUGACUGAUAUGCCAACUCUGAGGAAGUGGUGGUGUAUAUUGCUAGCGGACAAUUUCAAACUUGGGUGCAUGGUGAGCCACAGGAAAGAGUUUGCCCAUUGGACAGACAAGGCAAAAGCAUUACUGCAGGGUGAAGUGCCACCAGUCUAUCAGCUACAGAAGUGAAAUUUGAAUAUAAUUGCUGAGGAAGAGGUGCAACCACAGCUCCUUCAAGUUAGUGGUGGCCCACUCCAAAAAGAUACGGCGGGAAAAAAUGUUUUGGUAAAAGGAUUGUGCAAGACAGCACAAAAGCCUCGGACAGGGCUGGGGGGGGGGGG